rnacentral:rRNA from 1 species
UUCGAGAGAACUCUCGUUAAGGAACUCGGCAAAAUCACCCCGUAACUUCGGGAGAAGGGGUGCUCAUUUGGGUGAAUAGCCCAGAUGAGCCGCAGUGAAUAGGCCCAGGCGACUGUUUAGCAAAAACACAGGUCUCUGCGAAGCCGCAAGGCGAAGUAUAGGGGCUGACGCCUGCCCGGUGCUGGAAGGUUAAGAGGAGCGCUUAGACUUCGGUCGAAGGUGCGAAUUGAAGCCCCAGUAAACGGCGGCCGUAACUAUAACGGUCCUAAGGUAGCGAAAUUCCUUGUCGGGUAAGUUCCGACCCGCACGAAAGGCGCAACGAUCUGGGCACUGUCUCAGCGAGAGACUCGGUGAAAUUAUAGUACCUGUGAAGAUGCAGGUUACCCGCGACAGGACGGAAAGACCCCGUGGAGCUUUACUGCAGCCUGAUAUUGAAUGUUGGUGCGGCUUGUACAGGAUAGGUAGGAGCCUUUGAAGCCGGAGCGCUAGCUUCGGUGGAGGCAUCGGUGGAUACUACCCUUGCUGUAUUGACAUUCUAACCCGCAGCCGUGAUCCGGCUGGGAGACAGUGUCUGGCAGGCAGUUUGACUGGGGCGGUCGCCUCCUAAAGUGUAACGGAGGCGCCCAAAGGUUCCCUCAGAAUGGUUGGAAAUCAUUCGCAGAGUGUAAAGGCACAAGGGAGCUUGACUGCGAGACCUACAAGUCGAGCAGGGACGAAAGUCGGGCUUAGUGAUCCGGUGGUUCCGCAUGGAAGGGCCAUCGCUCAACGGAUAAAAGCUACCCCGGGGAUAACAGGCUUAUCUCCCCCAAGAGUUCACAUCGACGGGGAGGUCUGGCACCUCGAUGUCGGCUCAUCGCAUCCUGGGGCUGUAGUCGGUCCCAAGGGUUGGGCUGUUCGCCCAUUAAAGCGGUACGCGAGCUGGGUUCAGAACGUCGUGAGACAGUUCGGUCCCUAUCCGUCGUGGGCGCAGGAAAUUUGAGAGGAGCUGUCCUUAGUACGAGAGGACCGGGAUGGACGCACCGCUGGUGUACCAGUUGUUCCGCCAGGAGCAUCGCUGGGUAGCUACGUGCGGAAGGGAUAAGUGCUGAAAGCAUCUAAGCAUGAAGCCCCCCUCAAGAUGAGAUUUCCCAUAGCGCAAGCUAGUAAGACCCCUGAAAGAUGAUCAGGUUGAUAGGUCCGGCGUGGAAGUGUGGCGACACAUGGAGCUGACGGAUACUAAUCGGUCGAGGACUUAAUCG